GCUCAGAUUGAACGCUGGCGGCAGGCCUAACACAUGCAAGUCGAACGGUAACAGAAAGCAGCUUGCUGCUUUGCUGACGAGUGGCGGACGGGUGAGUAAUGUCUGGGAAACUGCCCGAUGGAGGGGGAUAACUACUGGAAACGGUAGCUAAUACCGCAUAACGUCGCAAGACCAAAGAGGGGGACCUUAGGGCCUCUUGCCAUCGGAUGUGCCCAGAUGGGAUUAGCUAGUAGGUGGGGUAAAGGCUCACCUAGGCGACGAUCCCUAGCUGGUUUGAGAGGAUGACCAGCCACACUGGAACUGAGACACGGUCCAGACUCCUACGGGAGGCAGCAGUGGGGAAUAUUGCACAAUGGGCGCAAGCCUGAUGCAGCCAUGCCGCGUGUAUGAAGAAGGCCUUCGGGUUGUAAAGUACUUUCAGCGGGGAGGAAGGGAGUAAAGUUAAUACCUUGCUCAUGACGUACCCGCAG
rnacentral:rRNA from 1 species